AGGGUUAUAGCUCAGUGAUAUGAGCACAUGCUUAGCAGGCACAAGGUCCUGGGUUCAAUCCCCAGUACCUCUG
rnacentral:tRNA from 1 species